AGGGCACCACCAGGAGUGGAGCCUGCGGCUUAAUUUGACUCAACACGGGAAAACUUACCCGGCCCGGACACUGGAAGGAUUGACAGAUUGAGAGCUCUUUCUUGAUUCAGUGGGUGGUGGUGCAUGGCCGUUCUUAGUUGGUGGAGCGAUUUGUCUGGUUAAUUCCGAUAACGAGCGAGACUCUAGCCUACUAAAUAGACUGUUCAGCUUUAUAGCCGGAAUCACCGGGCAUGUAGCUCUCACGGGUUGCAUGUUCGGCUCUGGUGACGUUGGCAGUGCUUCUUAGAGGGACAGGCGGCGGUUCAGCCGCACGAAACAGAGCAAUAACAGGUCUGUGUUGCCCUUAGAUGUCCGGGGCUGCACGCGCGCUACACUGAAGUGAUCAGCGUGCAAUUUACGUUUGGUGAUCUGUCAAGAUUGCCCAACCCGUUGAACCUUCUUCGUGAUUGGGAUAGGGGAUUGUAAUUAUUCCCCUUGAACGAGGAAUUCCCAGUAAGCGCAAGUCAUAAGCUUGCGUUG
rnacentral:rRNA from 1 species